rnacentral:piRNA from 1 species
UCCCUUCUUUUGUGGGUAUGUUGCUUUAAU